UUCCGCAUGGACGANUUCUGACGGAGCACGCCGCGUGAGUGAUGAAGGCUUUCGGGUCGUAAAACUCUGUUGUUAGGGAAGAACAAGUGCUAGUUGAAUAAGCUGGCACCUUGACGGUACCUAACCAGAAAGCCACGGCUAACUACGUGCCAGCAGCCGCGGUAAUACGUAGGUGGCAAGCGUUAUCCGGAAUUAUUGGGCGUAAAGCGCGCGCAGGUGGUUUCUUAAGUCUGAUGUGAAAGCCCACGGCUCAACCGUGGAGGGUCAUUGGAAACUGGGAGACUUGAGUGCAGAAGAGGAAAGUGGAAUUCCAUGUGUAGCGGUGAAAUGCGUAGAGAUAUGGAGGAACACCAGUGGCGAAGGCGACUUUCUGGUCUGUAACUGACACUGAGGCGCGAAAGCGUGGGGAGCAAACAGGAUUAGAUACCCUGGUAGUCCACGCCGUAAACGAUGAGUGCUAAGUGUUAGAGGGUUUCCGCCCUUUAGUGCUGAAGUUAACGCAUUAAGCACUCCGCCUGGGGAGUACGGCCGCAAGGCUGAAACUCAAAGGAAUUGACGGGGGCCCGCACANGCGGUGGAGCAUGUGGUUUAAUUCGAACCA
rnacentral:rRNA from 1 species